AACGAACGCUGGCGGCAGGCUUAAUACAUGCAAGUCGAACGCACCCUUCGGGGUGAGUGGCAGACGGGUGAGUAACGCGUGGGAAUCUACCCAAUACUACGGAAUAGCUCCGGGAAACUGGAAUUAAUACCGUAUGUGCCCUACGGGGGAAAGAUUUAUCGGUAUUGGAUGAGCCCGCGUUGGAUUAGCCAGUUGGUGGGGUAAUGGCCUACCAAGGCGACGAUCCAUAGCUGGUCUGAGAGGAUGAUCAGCCACACUGGGACUGAGACACGGCCCAGACUCCUACGGGAGGCAGCAGUAGGGAAUAUUGGACAAUGGGCGAAAGCCUGAUCCAGCCAUGCCGCGUGAGUGAUGAAGGCCUUAGGGUUGUAAAGCUCUUUCAGUGGGGAAGAUAAUGACGGUACCCACAGAAGAAGCCCCGGCUAACUUCGUGCCAGCCGCCGCAGUAACAC
rnacentral:rRNA from 1 species